rnacentral:rRNA from 1 species
CCUACGGGGGGCAGCAGUGGGGAAUAUUGCACAAUGGGGGAAACCCUGAUGCAGCCAUGCCGCGUGUGUGAAGAAGGCCUUCGGGUUGUAAAGCACUUUCAGCGAGGAGGAAAGGUUAGUAGUUAAUACCUGCUAGCUGUGACGUUACUCGCAGAAGAAGCACCGGCUAACUCCGUGCCAGCAGCCGCGGUAAUACGGAGGGUGCGAGCGUUAAUCGGAAUUACUGGGCGUAAAGCGUGCGCAGGCGGUUUGUUAAGCGAGAUGUGAAAGCCCCGGGCUCAACCUGGGAACCGCAUUUCGAACUGGCAAACUAGAGUCUUGUAGAGGGGGGUAGAAUUCCAGGUGUAGCGGUGAAAUGCGUAGAGAUCUGGAGGAAUACCGGUGGCGAAGGCGGCCCCCUGGACAAAGACUGACGCUCAGGCACGAAAGCGUGGGGAGCAAACAGGAUUAGAUACCCGAGUAGUC